CGCGCGUGUGUGUGUGUGUGUGUGUGUGUGUGUGUGUGUGUGUGUGGACUUACUCGCGUCACCGAACACGCGCGCACACACACAUACGCACGCACGCA